AGUGCUUCUAUUGGCCAGCUCACUGCUAACAAGGACGAUGAUUUCAAACUGGAAAGCACUGCCCCUUCAUCAAGAAUGCUUAUGAUGACGAUGGGGGACUGAGGCCUUCCUGGAAGUGGGUAAUCCAUAAGUCAGGCUACAACCCUGGAUCCCAGCAAACUAUGGUGUCUGUCAUCUACUGAUAAGACGAGCCUCCCCCGAGCCCCAAGACCAUGGGAAAGAACAUUCCCCUAUGAUGUUCUUAGAGAAUGACUCCAUUCUGUUGGGACCACUCCUUCAACUCUUCAAGAUAACCCUGCCAGGAAAGAAAACACUCUCACCAACUCCUCCAGCCCUCUGGGAUUCGAGUGAGGCAAAACGAGGACCUUUCUUUGUUGCAGUCACUAUGGGACAUGUCUGCAGUGGUCACUU